rnacentral:rRNA from 1 species
CCCUUAGAUGUUCUGGGCUGCACGCGUGCUACACUGAUAUUGCCAAUAUGCCAUUCUUAUCCGAAAUGGAUUGGGUAAUCAAGUAAUGAAAUUUCAUGCUUGGAAUCGGUAAUUGCAAUUUUAUCGUGAACGAGGAAUUCCUAGUAAGCACUAGUCAUCAGCUAAUGUUGAUUAUGUCCCUGCCCUUUGUACACACCGCCCGUCGCUACUACUGAUUGGGUGUUCAAGUGAGAUGCUUAGACCCUUGUUGCAUGGUUCAUUAUUGCGCUCCGAAAGGAAAAAGUUUCAAGCUUGAGUGUAUAGAGGAAGUAAAAGUCGUAACA